rfam:Schistosoma mattheei strain Denwood, Zambia genome assembly, scaffold: SMTD_scaffold0005747
UUCCAGCUGACGAGUCCCAAAUAAGACGAAACACGUGUCCUUACUUGUAA